UACGUAGGGUGCGAGCGUUGUCCGGAAUUAUUGGGCGUAAAGAGCUCGUAGGCGGUCUGUCGCGUCGGUCGUGAAAACUUGGGGCUUAACCCUGAGCUUGCGGUCGAUACGGGCAUGACUGGAGUUCGGCAGGGAGACUGGAAUUCCUGGUGUAGCGGUGAAAUGCGCAGAUAUCAGGAGGAACACCGGUGGCGAAGGCGGGUCUCUGGGCCGAUACUGACGCUGAGGAGCGAAAGCGUGGGGAGCAAACAGG
rnacentral:rRNA from 1 species